UAGGGAGCGUGGCGGCGAUGGGGAGCUUGCUCCUGGAUUCGCGGCGGACGGGUGAGUAAUGCCUAGGAAUCUGCCUGGUAGUGGGGGAUAACGUUCCGAAAGGAACGCUAAUACCGCGUACGUCCUACGGGAGAAAGCAGGGGACCUUCGGGCCUUGCGCUAUCAGAUGAGCCUAGGUCGGAUUAGCUAGUUGGUGAGGUAAUGGCUCACCAAGGCGACGAUCCGUAACUGGUCUGAGAGGAUGAUCAGUCACACUGGAACUGAGACACGGUCCAGACUCCUACGGGAGGCAGCAGUGGGGAAUAUUGGACAAUGGGCGAAAGCCUGAUCCAGCCAUGCCGCGUGUGUGAAGAAGGUCUUCGGAUUGUAAAGCACUUUAAGUUGGGAGGAAGGGCUGUAGGCUAAUAUCCUGCAGUUUUGACGUUACCAACAGAAUAAGCACCGGCUAACUUCGUGCCAGCAGCCGCGGUAAUACGAAGGGUGCAAGCGUUAAUCGGAAUUACUGGGCGUAAAGGCGCGCGUAGGUGGUUCGUUAAGUUGGAUGUGAAAGCCCCGGCUCACCCUGGGAAACGCAUCCCAAACUGGGGAGCU
rnacentral:rRNA from 1 species